ACAGAGAAGCAGAACAUCCUUCUUAAGCACAUGCAUGAAAAAAGUUUUGGAUUUUGAUCAAUAAAUAUGGAAAUAAGCAUUAACACGAAGCUUAUUCCACAUUUAUUGGUCAAAAUAAAGAAUUAUAAUGCAUGUGUUGAAGAAGGAUGUUCUGCGUCUCUGU